CCUACGCGGUGCAGCAGUAGGGAAUCUUCCACAAUGGGCGAAAGCCUGAUGCAGCAACGCCGCGUGGGUGAAGAAGGUCUUCGGAUCGUAAAACCCUGUUGUUAGAGAAGAAAGUGCGUGAGAGUAACUGUUUACGUUUCGACGGUAUCUCAUCAGAAAGCCACGGCUAACUACGUGCCAGCAGCUGCGGUAAUACGUAGGUGGCAAGAGUUAUCCGGAUUUAUUGGGAGUAAAGGGGACGCAGGCGGUCGUUUAAGUCUGAUGUGAAAUCCCUCGGCUUAACCGGCGUAGUGUAUUGGAAACUGGGAGACGUGAGGGCAGAAGAGGAGAGUGGAACGCCAUGUGUAGCGGUGAAAUGCGUAGAUAUAUGACAGAACACCAGUGGCGAAAGCGGCUCUCUGGUCUGUAACUGACGCUGAGGUUCGAAAGCGUGGGUAGCAAACAGGAUUAGAUACCCGAGUAGUC
rnacentral:rRNA from 1 species